rnacentral:rRNA from 1 species
GGGUGCGAUCCUACCAACACUAAUGCACUGGAUCUCAUCAAAAAUCCGCAGUUAAGCGUGAUUGGGCGAGAGUAGUACUGGGAUGGCUGACCUCCUGGGAAGUCCUCGUGUUGCACCCC